UGGUGACUAUAGCAAGGAGGUCACACCUGUUCCCAUGCCGAACACAGAAGUUAAGCUCCUUAGCGUCGAUGGUAGC
rnacentral:rRNA from 1 species